CGUCCAGCCCGCUCAGAAACUUAAAUGAAUUGACGGGGCCCGCACAAGCGGAGGAGCAUGUGGUUAAUUCGAUGAUACGCGAGGAACCUUACCUGGGCUCGAACGUAAGAUGACUGUAGGUGAAAGCUUACAUCUCUUCGGAGCAUUUUACGAGGUGCUGCAUGGUUGUCGUCAGCUCGUGCCGUGAGGUGUCGGGUUAAGUCCCAUAACGAGCGCAACCCUACCUUUAGUUGCCAUCAGGUAAUGCUGGGGACUCUAAAGGAACUGCCUACGCAAGUAGUGAGGAAGGCGGGGAUGACGUCAAAUCAGCACGGCCCUUACGUCCAGGGCUACACACGUGCUACAAUGGCCGAUACAGAGGGCAGCUACCUGGUGACAGGAUGCAAAUCUCCAAAGUCGGUCUCAGUUCGGAUCGGAGUCUGCAACCCGACUCCGUGAAGUUGGAUUCGCUAGUAAUCGCGCAUCAGCCAUGGCGCGGUGAAUACGUUCCCGGGCCUU
rnacentral:rRNA from 1 species